rnacentral:rRNA from 1 species
GAUGAACGCUGGCGGCGUGCCUAAUACAUGCAAGUCGAGCGAACAGACGAGGAGCUUGCUCCUCUGACGUUAGCGGCGGACGGGUGAGUAACACGUGGAUAACCUACCUAUAAGACUGGGAUAACUUCGGGAAACCGGAGCUAAUACCGGAUAAUAUAUUGAACCGCAUGGUUCAAUAGUGAAGGACGGUUUUGCUGUCACUUAUAGAUGGAUCCGCGCCGCAUUAGCUAGUUGGUAAGGUAACGGCUUACCAAGGCGACGAUGCGUAGCCGACCUGAGAGGGUGAUCGGCCACACUGGAACUGAGACACGGUCCAGACUCCUACGGGAGGCAGCAGUAGGAAAUCUUCCGCAAUGGGCGAAAGCCUGACGGAGCAACGCCGCGUGAGUGAUGAAGGUCUUCGGAUCGUAAAACUCUGUUAUUAGGGAAGAACAAAUGUGUAAGUAACUAUGCACGUCUUGACGGUACCUAAUCAGAAAGCCACGGCUAACUACGUG